rnacentral:lncRNA from 1 species
GGGUUGCUCCGGCAAGACCCUCCGAUGCUCAAGUCAGUUCUCUGCCUCAACAAGAAUGGAGUGCUCGAAUGAAAAUUUUAGCAGAGUUUUGGGAUAGAAAAUAGAGCUUAGAGAAUAACGUAUCUGGGGUCCCCCUUUUAUAGGUGGAGGGGGCAACAGACUGAUAGCGAUGUCUGUAACCGUCUGGCAGUAGACCGCCCAGAGUCAGGAGGAGUUUGUUGCGAAGAGUAGUGGAGUGGAAUCGUGGCUAUCACCGGGACAUACCACAUGGAGUCUGUCGUGGGGAGUGGAGCGGCGUCCGUUGUCGCGACUUGCCAGAGGAUGGAAGAAUC